UUCAUUCGGCGUUUCGACAAGAAGGGAAGACCAGGUCUAGUGUAAGGAAGUAUUUUCAGCCAGAACAAGGCGUUAAAAACGCCGCAGUGCACUCCUAAGACUAUAAAAAACUGCCAAGAGGUCUAUCAUGUUGGGGUGUCGUAGAUAGCAGACGAAAGGAUCGCAACGGGAAAGUUUUCUCGAAAACCCCACGAAUUUUCGAAGAUCGCAUGAAGAAUGUAUUUUCACUAAACCGAAGAAAUAUUGAACAGGAUAUGGAGAAACCUGAAGAAAACCUACACAGGCAUCAAAGACAAUAUAGGGAAAACUGGAAGGGGUAGAAUUUACUAGGAAUAUUAUCACCAGAUUGAUGAAAUACAUAGGUAGGACAAAACAGUUAACCUCCCUAACCCAAUACC